rnacentral:lncRNA from 1 species
GGACAGACACUUCAGUAUCUAGGUCUGGGACGGCGAUCCUAUUGAGCUCGAUGAGAUUAACAAAGAUUUGAUCACCUAUAGGGAUGCAAUGCAGUGGUCUAACUCUAAGAAGUGGCUUGAAGCCAUCAAAUCUAAAUUGAAGUCCAUAGAAAUCAAUAGUGUAUAGAUACUAGAUUCACCAGAAGGGAUAAAAUCUAUUAGGUGUGAAUGGAUUUUUCAAAAGGAUCAGAGUAGGGC